UACGUAGGAGGCAAGCGUUGUCCGGAAUCACUGGGCGUAAAGCGCGUGUAGGUGGUGGGACAAGUCUGCUGUGAAAGCGCCUGGCUUAACCGGGCGAGGUCGGCGGAAACUGUUCGACUCGAGGACGGUAGAGGGGGGUGGAAUUCCCGGUGUAGUGGUGAAAUGCGUAGAGAUCGGGAGGAACACCUGUGGCGAAGGCGGCCCCCUGGCCGGCCCUGACACUGAGACGCGAAGGCGUGGGGAGCGAACGGG
rnacentral:rRNA from 1 species